rnacentral:rRNA from 1 species
GACGAACGCUGGCGGCGUGCUUAACACAUGCAAGUCGAACGGAAAGGCCCUGCUUGCAGGGUGCUCGAGUGGCGAACGGGUGAGUAACACGUGGGUGAUCUGCCCCUUACUUUGGGAUAAGCCUGGGAAACUGGGUCUAAUACUGGAUAGGACCAUGCUGUAGGUGGUGUGGUGGAAAGAUUAGUUUCGGUAAGGGAUGAGCUCGCGGCCUAUCAGCUUGUUGGUGGGGUAGUGGCCUACCAAGGCGUCGCCGGGUGGCCGGCCUGAGAGGGUGGACGGCCACAUUGGGACUGAGAGACGGCCCAGACUCCUACGGGAGGCAGCAGUGGGGAAUAUUGCACAAUGGGCGCAAGCCUGAUGCAGCGACGCCGCGUGAGGGAUGACGGCCUUCGGGUUGUAAACUCCUUUCAGCCAUGACGAAGCCCUUGUGGUGACGGUAGUGGUAGAAGAAGCACCGGCUAACUACGUG